rnacentral:rRNA from 1 species
GGGUUAAGUCCGUAACCGAGCGCAACCCUUGUCCUUAGUUACCAGCACGUUAUGGUGGGCACUCUAAGGAGGACUGCCGGUGACAAACCGGAGGAAGGUGGGGAUGACGUCAAGUCAUCAUGGCCCUUACGGCCUGGGCUACACACGUGCUACAAUGGUCGGUACAAAGGGUUGCCAAGCCGCGAGGUGGAGCUAAUCCCAUAAAACCGAUCGUAGUCCGGAUCGCAGUCUGCAACUCGACUGCGUGAAGUCGGAAUCGCUAGUAAUCGUGAAUCAGAAUGUCACGGUGAAUACGUUCCCGGGCCUU